AAACCAAAUAAAUAAACCAAAUAAAUAUAUAAAUAAAAAUAUAUAAUGUUUUUAAAAUAUAAUAUUUUUAAAAUAUAUUAUUUUUAAAAGGCAAAACACAAUACAUAAAAAUGCAUAUUUUUUUUUAACAGAUCUACAUAAUAUACAUAAAACAUUCCGUUUUCAUAAAAUGUGAUAUAACAUUAAUCAAGUUAUUCGUUUUAUGAAUGUUUUUUUAAAUCAUUUAUUUUUAAUGUUUUUUUAAUUUUUUUUAUCAAAUUUUUAAAAUUAGCUUUAUAUGUUAUUGUGUCAUUGCUUGGCAAAAAAAAAAAAAAAAAAAAAAAAAGAUCCGUUAGUUUUAAUUACCAUUAUUAUAUUUUAAAAGAUAAAAUACAACAGUAAGUUAAUAAACAAAGGUGGUAGCAUAAAACAUUAGUCGCAUAAUAAUGAAACAACUUAACAAAAUGGAUUCAAAUUUAAAUAAUAAUAAAAAAGAUAAUCAAGGGCUAAAUAAGCCCCAAAUGGGGAAGCGAAAAACUGUAAAGUUUACAAGAAUUAAGAAAGUAAAUUUUAAAAAAGAAAAGAAGCUUUUCGUACCAAAUGAAACAAAGGAUAAACAAAAAUCUGUAAGUAUUAAUAUGAACAUUAUAUACACAUAUAUAUAUAUAUAUAUAUAUAACCCAAUUUAUAAAAAAAAUUCUGUGUUUAUAUAGUUAUAUAUAGAUGUAGCUAAGAAUAAUAGACAUAUUAUACAUACAUUUUGCUUUUUUCCUUUUUUAAAAAUUUUUUAUUAACAGAAAAAACCAAAUAAAAAAAAAUUUAAGACAGCCUAUAGAAAAAUGGAAUAUUCAAUGAAAUUGGAGAAUCAAAAAAAAGAGUUUUUAGAUUUACAAAAACAGUUAAAGAAUACAAUAUUUAAAGAAACCAAUCGUUGUAUUUUUGCUAUUCGAAACAAAACCCCUUGCAUUUAUCAUAAAGCUAAUGAUGUUCUUCAGAAACUAAGACUUAACAAGUAUUAUAAAGGGGUGCUAUUAGUUGAUAAUGUCGAUAACAUGAGAAACUUAUUCCUUGUGAAACCAUAUAUUUGCUAUGGUUAUAUACAAAAAUAUAACUGUUAUACUUUAUUAGAAAAAAGACUUUUUUUAAAAAAAGAUGAUGAAAUUAUCAGAUGCAGUUCAAAUGCAAUUAUAUCAAAAUUAUUUACUGAAGAAAAAAUACUCACAUUUUCUUCUUUUUGUGAAUAUAUUUAUGAAUGUAAAAAAUGCGCAGACAAUAUAAUGAAACAAAAAAUUAUGCCUUUCGACUUUUCUGAUUUGAAUGAUGAUUUAAUUUUCGAUUUCAAAAAUUUUAAUGAAAAUUUUAUAGGAUUCCUAGAUGAUCGUAUCAACGAAAUAUUGGAAAAAAUUAUUUAAUGGAUAUUAUCGUAUAUCUAAUAAGUAUGUUUGUUGUAUUGUACAUUUUGUACUUUCUCUUUUUUUUGUUUACAAUAUGCACUUAAAUACAUGCAUUUAUUUGUUCAUGCAUUUAUUCACAUAUGUGCAAAUCGGUACAUAUAUCAACUUACACGAACAUAUAUAUAUAUAUAUAUAUAUACUUGUACAAUUUUAAAUAAAGUUUUUGUUUGCGACGUUACCGUUAUUAUU
ensembl:lncRNA